UAAGAAGUAAAAAUUCUCAGGUCCUACACCAGACCUGCUGAGUCAGAAGUUCUGGGAGUGGUGCCCAGGAAUCUGCAUUUUAAC
rnacentral:pre_miRNA from 1 species